AUUGAACGUUGGCGGCGUGGAUUAGGCAUGCAAGUCGAGCGAGAAUUCUAGUUUACUAGAAGGAAAGCGGCAAACGGGGUAGUAAUGCGUAGGUGACGUGCCCUCAGGACCGGGACAGCCACGGGAAACUGUGAUUAAUACCGGAUGACCUCUCCGAGCAUGAUUGUUUGGGGAGCAAAGGUGUGAUUCCGCCUGAGGAGCGGCUUGCGUGGUAUUAGCUAGCUGGUGAGGUAAUGGCUCACCAUGGCCAAGAUGCCUAGGGGGUGUGAGAGCACGACCCCAACCACUGGGACUGAGAUACUGCCCAGACACCUACGGGUGGCUGCAGUCGAGAAUCUUCGGCAAUGGGCGCAAGCCUGACCGAGCGACGCCGCGUGCGGGAUGAAGGCCCUUGGGUUGUAAACCGCUGUCAGAGGGGAUGAAAUGCCGGAGGGUUCUCCCUCCGGUUUGACAGAGCCUCAGAGGAAGCACGGGCUAAGUUCGUGCCAGCCGCCGCCGUAAAAC
rnacentral:rRNA from 1 species